rnacentral:rRNA from 1 species
AGUCGUAACAAGGUCUCCGUUGGCGAACCAGCGGAGGGAUCAUUACCGAGUUUACAACUCCCAAACCCCUGUGAACAUACCAAUUGUUGCCUCGGCGGAUCAGCCCGCUCCCGGUAGAACGGGACGGCCCGCCAGAGGACCCCUAAACUCUGUUUCUAUAUGUAACUUCUGAGUAAAACCAUAAAUAAAUCAAAACUUUCAACAACGGAUCUCUUGGUUCUGGCAUCGAUGAAGAACGCAGCAAAAUGCGAUAAGUAAUGUGAAUUGCAGAAUUCAGUGAAUCAUCGAAUCUUUGAACGCACAUUGCGCCCGCCAGUAUUCUGGCGGGCAUGCCUGUUCGAGCGUCAUUUCAACCCUCAAGCCCAGCUUGGUGUUGGGACUCGCGAGUCAAAUCGCGUUCCCCAAAUUGAUUGGCGGUCACGUCGAGCUUCCAUAGCGUAGUAGUAAAACCCUCGUUACUGGUAAUCGUCGCGGCCACGCCGUUAAACCCCAGCUUCUGAAUGUUGACCUCGGAUCAGGUAGGAAUACCCGCUGAACUUA